GUGGGGAAUAUUGGACAAUGGGGGCAACCCUGAUCCAGCCAUCCCGCGUGUGCGAUGAAGGCCUUCGGGUUGUAAAGCACUUUUGGCAGGGAAGAAAAGUUUCGGGCUAAUACCCUGGAGCGAUGACGGUACCUGCAGAAUAAGCACCGGCUAACUACGUGCCAGCAGCCGCGGUAAUACGUAGGGUGCAAGCGUUAAUCGGAAUUACUGGGCGUAAAGCGUGCGCAGGCGGUUCGGAAAGAAAGAUGUGAAAUCCCAGGGCUUAACCUUGGAACUGCAUUUUUAACUGUCGAACUCGAGUAUGUCAGAGGGGGGUAGAAUUCCACGUGUAGCAGUGAAAUGCGUAGAGAUGUGGAGGAAUACCGAUGGCGAAGGCAGCCCCCUGGGAUAAUACUGACGCUCAUGCACGAAAGCGUGGGGAGCAAACAGGAUUAGAAACCCUGGUAGUCC
rnacentral:rRNA from 1 species